rnacentral:rRNA from 1 species
AUGGCGCCAGACAGCUCGACCACCCUGCGCUCGUCCAUCCAGCCGCAUUCGUCGUCGAUAUGCAGCUGCACCAUGCCGCCACCACUCGUCGUCAAUGAUGCGGUAGAUACAACGCCGCACCACCUGGCAACCUCCACACCAUCGCCACUGCUGGAGCUACUCGGAGCCCACCAUCCACAACAUCUCUCCCCUGAACAACAGUUCCUCCCAAUCGGCGCCUCCAUGAAGGAUACGAUGCGCAGGACGCCGCCGCCACCCAAUCCAGACUAA